AUGAGGCUCUCAUCUUUAUUAAAGUUUUUGAUAACUGGAAAAUUACUUGGAGUGAAUUACCAACGUUCAAUUAUUAUUUGUCCAAGAAAAUUAAUUUGUUCCAGGUUCCCUAGCUCGCUAUAUGCAUAAACAUAACAUUUUAUCUUCUUCUUCAUCACUUCAUUCAGUGUCAUAUAUCUCAGAUUUGUAAUUACAGAUGUCUGUACCAAAAUGGGAGGAUUUGAACAUGGACUGUUUGGUGAAUGUGCUUAGAAGAGUGGGGAUAGAGUCACUACUAUUGGGCGCUCCCUUUGUGUGCCAGUCAUGGUACAAAGCAAGCCUUCAUCCUUCAUGCUGGCAAAUCAUUAAUUUUCAAAAAAUUGAAAGUGGUCCUUUGUCUUGGUACUUUUAUGAUGGAAUUACAACUGAAUUUAUUAAGUCCAUAAUUAAUCGAAGCCGUGGAAAUGCUACUGCAGUCUGGCUACCUGACGACUGCACUGAGGAGGCAUUAAGAUAUAUUGCAGACGAGUAAGUUGUAUACCUUUUCUGUUGUCAACUGCUCACAAUGUCUUAGUUAUUACUCACCCUUAUAGUUCACUGUUCCUCUAUGCGGUCUCAUGGAUGUGCAAAAGGUUAAGGAGGUACUUCUAAGUUCUUAGUUCUAACAGGUGCCCUGCCUUGAAGGCUCUGAUUCUGUCAGGGAAUCUAUGUUACAGGUAUUUCCCGGUUAUUCCAGAACUCAUAAGUAAGUGGAAAAAUCUAGAGCAGCUGAGACUCGGUCACCUUAGUAACAUGGAGAGAGUGUUUGAAGAAAUCAACUGUCAUUGUAAGAAUUUUUAUUGGUUAUGUGCUUUUGGAGCCAAUAUUGAGAGGGAUACAGCAUCAGCCAUUGUCACCUUUCUUCCAAACAUUAAGUAUUUGUAUAUGAGGAAAGCAAACAUUGAUCGGGAGAGUUUAGAGAUGAUUCUGCAGGUCUGCAAGGAGCUUGUGCUUUUGGAUGCCAGGGAUUGUGUAGGUUAUGAAUGUGAUGACCAGUUACUGAAGCUUGCUUCACAUAUUAGUAAUUUCCAGCACGAAGGUUCAACGCUGUUUGAUUAUGAAGACUAUUGGGGACCCAAUGAACAUGACAGUAUUUAUGAUGAUUACCUUUCUGAUUAAGUGGGUUACAUUAAUAAAGGUACUAUUUAGUAUUUAAGUAAGGGAAAUGCUAACGAGUGCCCUUAGGGCACUCAUUAACAAUCCAGUUAAAGGCUAUUUAUGUUUACUAUUUAAGUUUUACAUUUUCUGCAUCAGUUUGAAUGUGCAUAUGGUGAUAUGGGUGAAUUAGUGACAUUUGGGUGGUGUUUGGAGUUGGUGUUGGGUUUUAUGGAGUGGUGUUAUGCUAUUAAAUUUUUGGCAUUAGCCUAUUUCAUGACUCUAAUUGUAAUGAAUUCAAAUUUGUUAUUGUAUUUGCAACCUUGUAAAGGUCUA